AGAGUUUGAUCAUGGCUCAGAACGAACGCUGGCGGCGUGCCUAAUACAUGCAAGUCGCACGAGAAAGUCCUUCGGGAUGAGUAGAGUGGCGCACGGGAGAGUAAUGCGUAGGAACGUACCUUUUGGUGGGGGAUAACCACGGGAAACUGUGGCUAAUACCGCAUAAUGACGUGAGUCUAAAGAAGGCCUCUAUUUAUAAGCUUUCACCAAUUGAGCGGCCUACGUCCCAUUAGCUAGUUGGCGGGGUAACGGCCCACCAAGGCGACGAUGGGUAGCUGGUCUGAGAGGAUGACCAGCCUCACUGGGACUGAGACACGGCCCAGACUCCUACGGGAGGCAGCAGUAGGGAAUUUUGCACAAUGGGCGCAAGCCUGAUGCAGCAACGCCGCGUGAGUGAAGAAGGCUCUUGGGUUGUAAAGCUCUUUCGGCUGGGAAGAAGGGAUUAGCUGCGAACAGUUGCUAAUUCUGACGGUACCAGAAGAAGAAGGACCUGCUAACUUCGUGCCAGCAGCAGCGGUAAUACGAAGGGUCCAAGCGUUGUUCGGAAUUACUGGGCGUAAAGCGUGCGUAGGCGGGUCAGAAAGUCGAUUGUGAAAUCCCUGGGCUUAACCUAGGAACUGCAGUCGAAACUCCUGAUCUUGAAUGUCUGAGAGGAUGGCGGAAUUCCCGGUAGUAGUGAAAUACGUAGAUAUCGGGAAGAACACCUGAGGCGAAGGCGGCUAUCUGGCGGUACAUUGACGCUGAUACACGAAAGCGUGGGGAGCAAACAGGAUUAGAUACCCUAGUAGUCC
rnacentral:rRNA from 1 species